GAUAGAUCUGAUAGAUCUGAUAGAUCUAUCACAUCGAUCAGAUAUAUCACAUCGAUCAUAAUCUAAAUUAUAUUCACUCCUAUCAACACUUUCUUCUUCUCUCGAUUCAUUUAUUAAAGAUAUAUUUUUACUUUCUGAAUAUAAAUGCCAUUUCAAUAUAAAUUGUAAAUUAACUUUAGUUAUAUUUUGUCUCUUUAUUUCUUCAUUUACAUUAUUUUUAUUUAUAUUCCACCAAAACCGAUCCAUCAUAUCAACAUCUAAGUAUACAUAAUUAUUAUUCAAUUCUAAUAUAUUAUUAAUAUAAUAACCAAAAUCAAAAAAUUUUAUUUUUCUUUUAUAAAAAUGAGGAUUUAAUUUACUUGACACUAGACCUAAUAUUUUACAUCUAUACUCUCUCAAAUCUAUUAGUGAUUCCCUAUAUUCAAAUGAAUCAAUAAUUGGAUGUGCAUAAUCAAUCCACUCUCCUAAAGCUAAUACACAUAAAAUUUUUUUACUUAAAAAACCGAUAGACAUUAAAUAAUAAACAGAUGCAGGUAAUUUCACACCUACUAUUUUUAUAAAAUCAUAUGGUACCAAUUUAACACUUUUAUUAUUAAAAGAAUAAUCACUUUCAUUAUUAUUUAAUGUAACAUUAUCAUCGUUUGUCCCUUUCGAUUCUUUUGUGCUUGUACCUGUAUUUGUACCUGCAUUUGUGCUUGUGAUUGUGUCUGUGGUUGUCGUUCCGUUGGUUUUUUUUUUAAUUUCAUCAGUAGAACUAUUUUGGGUCAUAUUUGUGUUUGUUCCUUUUUCAUCAGUAUCUACUAUGUUGGCACUGUCACUUUUGUUAGUUACAGUUAUAGCAGUUUCGGUACUUGCAGAAGUAGUAGUAGUUGCAGAAGUAGCAGUAGUAGUAGUAGUAGUAGUAGUAGUACCACUUUUAAUUUCUGUAUUACUAUCAUUAUCACAUACAUUCACUUGUUCGUUUUUUUCAUUUAUUUCAUUAACGUGUUCAGAAUUAUUUUCUUUUUUACUAUCGCUGAUAAUAUCAUUAUUAUAUUUAUUAAAAUUGUUUACUUCACUUUUUUUUUCACUUUUUUCUUUACAUUUUAAAAUACAUUCAUUUACAUUAUUAUCCAUUUUAUUUUCAUUUUCUAAUUUACCAUUUAAUAUGUUAGAAUCUUUUUUUUUAUCUUCAUUUUUGUCUUUUUUUUUAUUAUCAUUCCCAUUUCCCUGUGCAUUUUUUUGGACCUCCGUACUACUACUACUACUACUACUAACAGUAUUACUACUAACAGUAUUACUAUUAACAGUAUUACUAUUAACAGUAUUACUACUAAUAGUGUUACUACUAACAGUGUUACUAUUAUUAUAACUACUAUAAUUAUUAUUAACAUUUUUUUUUAUAAUACCAUCUGAUCCCCCUCCUAUAUCAGUUGUAUUUGUAUCCAAAUAAUCAGAAUGUAAUACAGUUGAUGAGGAAUUAAUGUUAUCAUCACAUAAAUAAAUAUCAGUUGUUCCAUUAGUUAAUAAAACA
rnacentral:lncRNA from 1 species